rnacentral:rRNA from 1 species
UACGGAGGGGGCGAGCGUUAUUCGGAAUUAUUGGGCGUAAAGGGCGCGUAGGCGGCCCGGUAAGUCAAAGGUGAAAUCCCUCGGCUCAACUGAGGAACUGCCUUUGAAACUGUCGGGCUUGAGGCCGGGAGGGGGUAGCGGAAUUCCCAGUGUAGCGGUGAAAUGCGUAGAUAUCAGGAGGAACACCGGUGGCGAAAGCGGCCACCUGGACUGCUCCUGACGCUGAAACGCGAAAGCUAGGGUAGCGAACGGG